rnacentral:rRNA from 1 species
UACGUAGGUGGCGAGCGUUACUCGGAAUUACUAGGCGUAAAGCGUGUGUAGGCGGGGGCCUAAGUCUGUCGUGAAAUCUCACGGCUCAACCGUGAAAGGCCGGCAGAUACUGGGUUUCUUGAGUGCGGUAGAGGAGAUUGGAAUUCCCGGUGUAGCGGUGAAAUGCGUAGAUAUCGGGAAGAACGCCAAAGGCGAAGGCAGAUCUCUGGGCCGCCACUGACGCUGAGACACGAAAGCUAGGGGAGCAAACAGG